rnacentral:rRNA from 1 species
UUUCCUACGGGGGGCAGCAGCCGCGGUAAUACGUAGGGGGCAAGCGUUAUCCGGAUUUACUGGGUGUAAAGGGAGCGUAGACGGAAAGGCAAGUCAGAAGUGAAAACCCAAGGCUCAACCAUGGGACUGCUUUUGAAACUGUCAAACUAGAGUACGGGAGAGGUAAGAGGAAUUCCUAGUGUAGCGGUGAAAUGCGUAGAUAUUAGGAGGAACACCAGUGGCGAAGGCGUCUUACUGGACCGAAACUGACGUUGAGGCUCGAAAGCGUGGGGAGCAAACAGGAUUAGAUACCCCAGUAGUCCAAG